UCCGACCUUCAGCGCAGUAAUGCUCGCCGCUGUUAGGGAAGGGUAGCAAGGGCCGUCAUACAACCCCCACACACAAGGUUGACCUCGGAUCAGGUAGGGAUACCCGCUGAACUUAAGCAUAUCAAUAAGCGGAGGAAAAGAAACCAACAGGGAUUGCCUCAGUAACGGCGAGUGAAGCGGCAACAGCUCAAAUUUGAAAGCUGGCUCCUUCGGGGCCCGCGUUGUAAUUUGUAGAGGAUGCUUCGGGCGCGGCRCCGGUCUAAGUUCUCUGGAACGAGACGUCAUAGAGGGUGAGAAUCCCGUAUGUGACUGGCYGCCUGUGCCCACGUGAAGCUCCUUCGACGAGUCGAGUUGUUUGGGAAUGCAGCUCAAAAUGGGAGGUGUACUCCUUCUAAAGCUAAAUAUUGGCCAGAGACCGAUAGCGCACAAGUAGAGUGAUCGAAAGAUGAAAAGCACUUUGGAAAGAGAGUUAAACAGUACGUGAAAUUGUUGAAAGGGAAGCGCUUGCAAUCAGACUUGCGCGGCGUCGAUCAGCCUGGGUUCUCCCUGGUGCACUCGGCGCCGCUCAGGCCAGCAUCAGUUUCGGCGGUGGGAUAAAGGCCUAGGGAACGUGGGUCCCCUCGGGGACCGUUAUAGCCCUAGGUGCAAUGCCGCCUGCCGGGACUGAGGACCGCGCU
rnacentral:rRNA from 1 species